UUCAAUUCAAAUUUUAAAAACUCCUUAAAAAAUAUGUUGGUAUUUAAUUAUGACUCUUAAAUAUCCAUUAGAAUAUGGUGAUAUUGAAAAUUUAUAGAAUUUUAAUAUGUCAUGGACUUUAUAGGAUUCUAAUUCCCUAAUAUAAAUACAAAAUUCCUCCAGAAACCUCACCUCUACGUAAGAGAUUUUGACAUCCUCUCUC
rnacentral:lncRNA from 1 species